AACGCACCAAUUUGUAAGUCGCUCUGGAUAAGAGCGUCUGCUAAAUGACGUAAA
rfam:Salmo salar isolate Sally breed double haploid chromosome ssa06, whole genome shotgun sequence.